rnacentral:lncRNA from 1 species
UGUGUGUGUGUGUGUGCGCGUGCGUGUGGACAUGCUCAUGCACACAAGAGACAGAGUCAGCCAUGUGUACUGUCUGUUUGCUGGGAGCUGCUGCCCCCACCCCCAGUCUGAUGGCCUCCAUUUAUUUAUGAAAAUAUGACACAGUGGUGGGCAGAACCCAGAGAAAGUGGCCACGGGGUGGGGAAGUGGAGGUGCCAGCUCCCUCCGGCCUUAGCACUCUCUCCAGGUCCUUCACACGCUCCCAGGUGCCCUCUUCUCCCAGCCAGGGAUUCUGCACUGGAGAGAUGGUGGCUGCCCACCCUGUGGCACAGAGGGAAGCAGUGUGAGCACAGCCAGGCGGCUAAGGUGUGCUAGUGUGGAUCUUGCUGCGGCAGAGGGGCACCGUCUCCCUGCACCCCGAGGUCCACAGUGCAGGGGUGUGGUGUGGCCAGACAGAGAUGAGGCUCCUCUUGCAUGGGCCCUGUCGCAGCCCCAGAAGAACCCAGGAAGGUGCCUGCUUGGCACCAGGCCCCUCUGUCGAGUCAGCUCUGGGACCUGGGAGGCACCCAGAAGCCUGCAGUUGUCACAACUGUCCCCAAAGCCCCAAAUGUUUUGUCUGAAGCAAGAUCUUCAAGAUCUUCGGCAAGGCAGAGCAGCUGCCACCUCCCCACCCUGCAGGAUGGAAAUCCCUGAAUAUUGGUUUGAGGAAAGUCUUUGUGCAGCCUGUGACACAAAACCCGCCAAGUCGCCCUGCACAAGGGGGGAAGACAGGGUGCUCAGGAGGCAGGGCCGGGCACAGAGUGGGCCCACCUCGCCCAGGAGCCGGUGGCCUCCGAGCCUCACUCUUGGGCAGGCGUUGCUGGAGACUGGGGUGGGGGAGGUGAGGGGGUUGGUUUGGGAAAGGGUAGAGUGAGGCCGGGAUCACUUUCCUCCUGCAAGCCAGGGAGGAAGGAGCGCUCUACCUGCAGGGGGCGUGAGAGGGUAAAGGUGGGUGACAGGCGGGGCCACGCCAGGGAGGUGGCUGUUGGCUCAGAGCAAAGCUGCAAGGGCAGGGGAUAGAAAAUCAAUCAGCUGGCCCUGCAUCAGUGUGAGCUGGGGGUCCUGGCUGCGUCCCACCUGGAGCAGACUGCACGGGGGACGUCCCAGCCACCCCAGACGGUGCCUCUAUGCAAUCUGUUUGAUUCUGCGCAUGUAAUUUUGCAGGUCCGGAGGUGGAGUAGGCCUUGUGGUGCCUGCCACAUCCGGGCAGCCCCAACCCAGUUCCUCUUCAUCCUCAUCUUCCUCACCAGCAGGCACUGAGUCAUAGGCCAGCUCCUCUGAGGGCAGUGUGGUGAAGGUGGUGAACUUCGCCCCUCUUGCGCUUGGAGGUGGGCGAGCUGGCAGGGUCCUCGGCCUGGUCCCGGGCCGAACCACCAGAGGAGCCGUCGCCCGGCCAUGCACCUGGCUCUG